rnacentral:misc_RNA from 1 species
UUCACUGUUAAACAAACAUUACGGUCAAACGCUUCUCAGGAUUUUAACGGUGAAAAGCGAUCGGUCGGAAACUUGAUAUACUUCUUGUUAGUUUCUGCUACUCCGUCUCAGUCAGCGGCUUUAAAUGCUCUGUGUGAGACACAUUGCUUUCGAGUUCUGCUACUCAUACUUGCAAAUCCCUCUUAAUAGAAUUUUGUUUGCGGAAAAGUUGCUUUAAAAGCUUCUUAAAAUGUUUCAGUUUAAGCAGAAAAAUGUUCAGCUGAUAAUAUGUUAUCUGAGUUACACGAAUAGGAUUUUUUAAUUUUCUUCUUAAAAAAUCUUUCAGGACGAACAUCUUGCAUUUAAAAUUUUUAGUUUUUUUCAAUAUUUAAGUUAGUGCAAUAUUUUUCGUGGAAAACAUGUAAAAAUAUGUGGUUAAUAAAUUAAUUUUUAGCUUCAAAUCAGCAAUAAAUCAUUUUCCUCGCAGAGAUAAUUAAGGAGUGAGACUUAUUCAUAUUUUGCGGCUGUUUUUGAAUUCUUUGCUUGUUUGAUGACCUCAUUUGAUCUAAACAAAUAAAAAGCCUUUUAAGUCCGCUACUUUAUUUCCGCUUAAGAUUAUGUAAUACAAUUAAAACAAGUAUAAAUAAUUAGCUUGGUCUGAAGGAGGAAAUACUCUCUUACAAUUUCUGAAACUGAUAACUGAAAAUCAAAUUCAAAGUUUAUUAAGCAAUUAGAAAGAAGAAUAUAAAGGGUAUAAAAUCAGCACUUAAAACAAUUUGACCUUUUUUUUAAUAUGAAAGGAAAAGUAAGCUAUAUUUAUGUAAUGGUGAUUGUUUUUCCAAAAGGAAAUGCAAUAAUCUGUUGAUUUAUAGCAAGAAGAUAAUAUAAGGACGAACUUCUAGAAAUACAGAAAUUUAAUAAUUUCAUGCGCCGGAGAAAUUUGGAACUUACAUGAGAAUUCCAGCAUCCUUGUUAUUCUUCAGUAUCUGUACCAUACUCUUUCAAAAUAUGAAAUCGCAAUGUUCUAUCAGCAGAGAUUACAAUUCACGUCGGCUUGUUAUAGAUGAUAUAGUCCCCCAAGAAUACGACGGAUUAAAAACUCCAAGAGCUGCAGAUGGCCCUGCUAAAGUGGAGCUCACGAUUGUUAUUAUGAAUGUUCGAAAUGUAGACGUCUCAGAAAUGUCCAUACGAUUCGAUUUGAUGAUGACUAAAAGAUGGAUGGAUAACCGACUCAUCUUCCCCGCUUCCAAUAUUGAAGAAAAGGUUGUCUUAGAUUUGGACUGGAGGAAGAGAAUUUGGAUGCCCGAUGUAUUUUUCGAGAACUCCAUCGAAGGCCAUGUUCAAGACACAAUUAUUCCAAACAUGUACAUCUGGCUGUUCAAGAACAAGACCAUUCAGUUUACAGCUAGAAUAUCAAUAGAAUUUAGCUGUCAUAUGGAUCUGAGGCUUUUCCCGCAUGAUACGCAAGAAUGCGAUAUGAUAGUUAUGAGCUUGGCUCAUACAGAAGAUGAAAUGCAACUAGUUUGGGAUAAAGAAGAAAAUAUUACUCAAGGCGACAAUAUAGUACUUCCACAAUUUGAAAUAAUUAAAGUUACCAGUGGAGAUUGCAAAAAAGGUGUUUCAAGUUAUUAGAUAGAUACAAUUACAUGUUUUUCAAAGACGUUGUUUUCUUGUGGCUAAGUUACUAGAUGGCAUGCCGUUAAAUUUACAGAUGCCCGUUUCUCUUGCCUGAAAGGCUCUGUAACAAUGACAAGACGUUCUGGAUAUUACAUCACUAAUGUUUACAUACCUACUUGUCUAGUAGUUUUUAUGUCAAUGUUGACUUUCUGGAUUCCACCA